AUCGCUUCUCGGCCUUUUGGCUAAGAUCAAAGUGUAGUAUCUGUUCUUAUCAGCUUAAUAUCUGAUACGGUCCUCAUUGAGGGCCCAGAAUAUUAAACUG
rnacentral:snRNA from 1 species